rnacentral:lncRNA from 1 species
UCCUCCGAGCGCCUCCCAGCUCACGGCGCCCCCCGAACCCGGCUCCAAGGGACUCGGUAUUCCCCAGCGCCGGCUCCGGGCAGUCCCGGAAGGGCUCAAGGGCUGGGCGACUGGCUGAUCGAGACCGUCCGGGUCCUGGCUCUCGGGUCACUUGCAGAGGCCUGAGCAGAGCGUUAAUGAGAAUGAUCCAGAAGGGAGGAGAAGCUAAUGGUGCAGUGGAGAGCAGAGUCCCUGAGCAGGUGAGCAGGGAUGGGGGCCCAUGCCCAUGUCGGAAGCGGGCGCCACACUGCUUCAUGAUGGAAGGCAGAACGCCUGGGCCAGGGUGCAGGCAGGUGUCACAGAGAAUGUCCUUCAUGACCACAUCCUAGUUCCCAGAACCUGCGAAUAUGCUACUUUACAUGGCAAAAGGGAGUUUGCAAAUGUGAUUAAGAAUUAAGCUAAAGACCUUCAUACAGGGAGAUUAUCCUGGAUUCUCCAGGGGGCUGGUGUCAUCACAAGGAUCUUUAAAAGUAGAAGUAAGGAGGAGACGUGACCAAGGAAGAAGGGUCAGAGAGACGCAAUGCUUCCGAGGAACUCUGAGGAUGGAGGAAGGGACCAUCCUCCAAGGAAUGUGGGUGGCCCCUGAAUGAAGAGGCAGGAGAAGGCACACAGCCCUGCCUGCCAACACCUUGAUCUUAGCCCAGUGAAUCCUGACAGACUUCUAACCCGUGGAACUGCAAGACAAUAAUCGUGUGUUUGAAGCCACCAAGAGUGUGGUCGUUGGUUUUGGCAGCCAUAGAAAAGUAAUACAGUGGGUCAGGGAUCCGGGUGGGAAGGAGACAGCCCUCAGAGAAGGGAUCCGGGUGGGAAGGAGACAGCCCUUAGAGAAGGGAUCCGGGUGGGAAGGAGACAGCCCUCAGAGAAGGGCUUGUGGGGAGCCUGGGGGUGCUGGGAGAGGAGCUGGUGUGAAACAACCAGCUGGCUGGGAAGCUGGUGGCCCCAGGCUGCACCGCAGGCAAGAGCAGCUCUCAGCCCCAGGAGGCCAACAGUGGUCACUGGUGUGGGAGCCAGUUACAUUUCCAAAAGAAGCUGCACUUGAGGAUUACUGUGAAGCUGACUUUAGGGCUGGAGGGGCACAGGGCCAGAGUUCUGGGUUAGUGGCUUCUGACUCUGGUCCUAGCAACGCUUUUACUCCAGGUCAGCCUCCUGCACCUUGCCUCCUGGGCUUCCCCUUGACCCCCUCCUAGGGCAUCUGGGAAGGUGUGAUGAGUGGACUUGAGAGGUGAAAGUUGUUCCUUUGAAGCAGUCCAUGGCUGAUGCUCCCUGAAUGGCAUGAGAGCUCAUUGGCAUGGCCUCUGGGUGCUACUGGAAACCAGGGCUUUCAGGAUGGCCCGUUAUCCAUCCGUGUCCUGGUGGGUACAUCCUACAUCAGCCUGUCUGAGGACAUUAAAAUAAUCCCAGGAAUGAUA